CACGUAGGGUGCGAGCGUUGUCCGGAAUUAUUGGGCGUAAAGAGCUCGUAGGCGGUCCGUCACGUCGGAUGUGAAAUUCCAGGGCUCAACCCUGGACCUGCAUUCGAUACGGGCGGACUAGAGUUCGGUAGGGGAGACUGGAAUUCCUGGUGUAGCGGUGAAAUGCACAGAUAUCAGGAGGAACACCGGUGGCGAAGGCGGGUCUCUGGGCCGAUACUGACGCUGAGGAGCGAAAGCGUGGGGAGCGAACGGG
rnacentral:rRNA from 1 species